rnacentral:lncRNA from 1 species
GUUGCAAGACUCUCCUUUGUAUGUAUUGAUUGAGGAAGUCCAUUUUUUGCUCCCCGUAUCCUUCAGUUCCCUCAUUCUGAUUGGAUAGAUAUGGGGGCAUAGAAAUGUGGGGAAAGCAAGGAGGAGAAAAAUGGACAGUGAACCUUCCUCACUCGCUGCAGCCAGGGACAUCACUGCAGCAGAGCUUUCCGUGAGUGUGACCUGAAACCAUGGGAUCAUCUUCUGCAAGUAGGUGUUUAAAUAGCAGCAACUUUCAGACAAAAAUGCAAACCAUUAAGAUUAAAAAAACAGCAACAACAAACAGCUUUUUCAGGAGCAAGCUCAAUUUAAUUAUAUGAAGGAUUCUAAGGUCUAUAAAAUCAGAUGGGCUGGCUGUGAGCAUAAUAGGAAUAUUUGAGUAUGUUUGGAUUAGGUAAGCUUUUGUCAUAUAUAUUCUAGGAUUAAUCUAAUCUAAAAGCCUGUUUUUUCAGCAGAGAUUCAUCAUUACUAGCAAAGCAGAUUUCAGAUUAGAAGGCAUCAGUGUUGCAUUCUUCUGCUGCUGUCCUUUGGAAAAUGUGACUUUGCCUUCAUUGCCUGUCCUUAAUUUUAUUGGGGAAACUUGCUGUGGGCACUAGUAGACUCUAAAGUGAAUAAUCUGAAACCACAUAGCCCCUUGUGGACACCAACAGAGAGCCCAUGGGAAUCUGAGCGUGUAAUAACCAUGAUUUAUUUUACUGAUGAUCAGAGACAGAUGAAGCUGCCAGUAUGUCAGUGACUGGGCAGACCUCUGGUGGGAAUAUAGAAACCUGACUGAGGAAGACCCUUGGCACAGUCCCUGACCAGCUCUUUAAAAGAAGGGGCUACCCUGACCUGUCUAUGACUUAUCUUAAGACAUGAAGCGUGAAGGCAUGUAAACUAGUAUGAAGACGAGGAACAACGUAGGUGCCAGGGUAGUCCUCCUGCUUGUCUCUGCUUCCCUACAGUCUACCUCAUGAAAAUCUCUUAAUCUUUCACAGACCCGCCUUGCGAACAACUGUUGUAAUUGGAUGAGCUACACAUCAGGUGCUGCAAUGGAAAAGUGUUGUGAGCAAGAGAGCCAGUAAAUUGCUGUGUUUUUUACCCUUGAGACUUCAGUGACCUCUGCCAUCGAGCAUCACUCCUGUCCCUUCUGGAGAUCGGUGGCCAUACUUGAGCGCUGAAUUUAUCAGCUUCUUACUGAGUGCAGAUGUGCUGACUAUCGCAAGCAUUGACAGACUGCUCUCAGCCCUAGUAUUGACUUCCUCGACUGUUCAUCAUGUUGGAGUUGUUAGGCAUCCUUAGGGCAGUUGUGAAGUACAGCAUCAGGGGAAUCAGCUGAUGGCAUGCCCUCUGCCUGGAGAGCCCCAGCCUUGCCCAAGCCUGCAGCUUGGGGCUUGUUCUGCAGGAGCAGCACAGACUUCUGGAGGAUUCCUUUGUACAAGCAUGAGCUUGCCAAGCUGGGCAGGAACAAGUAUGCCUAUGAGUGCAUUUCUGUCCAGAAGAUGAGUUGGCUGCACAUGAACCUUGACCAUUUCAAGUCUAAGACUGACGAGUAAGGAAAAUAAAGGUCUCAGCACUUAGCCCAUGAUGACCGUUUUGCAGAAAUAGAACGCCAAGCAAGAAGAACGAAGCCUGCAGGAGUACAAGGAGGAAAUGAAAGUUGCCGUACCGACAGGGCUACACAAAUCCCGCGAUGGGUGGAUUAGGCUGAGCGUUAUCAGUGAUGAUGAAACACAGCAGACUGUGAAAAUCCAGAGCACAUUUCAAGGCAUAAACCUUGGAAAAACUGAAGAAUUGACACUGAAGCUACAGAAGUAGAGAGUAUAGACCUUGGCAUUAUACUUGGACAAAGCUUGCAGUCUGCAUCUGGCGAGGAUGGCACUGCUGGGUCAAUGCAC